UCUACGGGAGGCAGCAGUAGGGAAUCUUCCGCAAUGGACGAAAGUCUGACGGAACAACGCCGCGUGAGUGAUGAAGGUUUUCGGAUCGUAAAACUCUGUUGUUAGGGAAGAACAAGUACCGUUCGAAUAGGGCGGUACCUUGACGGUACCUAACCAGAAAGCCACGGCUAACUACGUGCCAGCAGCCGCGGUAGUACGUAGGUGGCAAGCGUUGUCCGGAAUUAUUGGGCGUAAAGCGCGCGCAGGUGGUUUCUUAAGUCUGAUGUGAAAGCCCACGGCUCAACCGUGGAGGGUCAUUGGAAACUGGGGAACUUGAGUGCAGAAGAGGAAAGUGGAAUUCCAAGUGUAGCGGUGAAAUGCGUAGAUAUUUGGAGGAACACCAGUGGCGAAGGCGACUUUCUGGUCUGUAACUGACACUGAGGCGCGAAAGCGUGGGGAGCAAACAGGAUUAGAUACCCUGGUAGUCCACGCCGUAAACGAUGAGUGCUAAGUGUUAGGGGGUUUCCGCCCCUUAGUGCUGCAGCUAACGCAUUAAGCACUCCGCCUGGGGAGUACGGUCGCAAGACUGAAACUCAAAGGAAUUGACGGA
rnacentral:rRNA from 1 species